rnacentral:rRNA from 1 species
GAUGAACGCUGGCGGCGUGCCUAAUACAUGCAAGUCGAGCGAACGGACGAGAAGCUUGCUUCUCUGAUGUUAGCGGCGGACGGGUGAGUAACACGUGGAUAACCUACCUAUAAGACUGGGAUAACUUCGGGAAACCGGAGCUAAUACCGGAUAAUAUUUUGAACCGCAUGGUUCAAAAGUGAAAGACGGUCUUGCUGUCACUUAUAGAUGGAUCCGCGCUGCAUUAGCUAGUUGGUAAGGUAACGGCUUACCAAGGCAACGAUGCAUAGCCGACCUGAGAGGGUGAACGGCCACACUGGAACUGAGACACGGUCCAGACUCCUACGGGAGGCAGAAGUAGGGAAUCUUCCGCAAUGGGCGAAAGACUGACGGAGCAACGCCGCGUGAGUGAUGAAGGUCUUCGGAUCGUAAAACUCUGUUAUUAGGGAAGAACAUAUGUGUAAGUAACUGUGCACAUCUUGACGGUACCUAAUCAGAAAGCCACGGCUAACUACGUG